rnacentral:rRNA from 1 species
CACGUAGGGGGCAAGCGUUGUCCGGAAUUAUUGGGCGUAAAGAGCUCGUAGGCGGCUCAGUAAGUCAGGUGUGAAAUUCCAGGGCUCAACCCUGGAACGCCACCUGAUACUGCUGUGGCUAGAGUCCGGUAGGGGAGCGUGGAAUUCCUAGUGUAGCGGUGAAAUGCGCAGAUAUUAGGAGGAACACCAGCGGCGAAGGCGGCGCUCUGGGCCGGAACUGACGCUGAGGAGCGAAAGCGUGGGGAGCAAACAGG